rnacentral:rRNA from 1 species
CAGCCGCCGCGGUAAUACCGGCGGCCCGAGUGGCGGCCACUAUUAUUGGGCUUAAAGCGUCCGUAGCCGGGUUGGUUAGUCUCCCGGGAAAUCUGGCCGCUUAACGGUCAGAAUUCCGGGAGAUACUGCCAGCCUAGGGACCGGGAGAGGCCGAGGGGAUUCCCGGAGUAGGGGUGAAAUCCUAUAAUCCCGGGAGGACCAACUGUGGCGAAGGCGCUCGGCUGGAACGGGUCCGACGGUGAGGGACGAAGGCCAGGGGAGCAAACCGGAUUAGAUACCCGGGUAGUCCUGGCUGUAAACGAUGCGGACUUUGUGUCGGACAAGCUAUGAGCUUGUCCGGUGCCGGAGGGAAACCGUUAAGUCCGCCGCCUGGGGAGUACGGCCGCAAGGCUGAAACUUAAAGGAAUUGGCGGG